rnacentral:rRNA from 1 species
AUGUUGGAGAGGGCAUGUGUCGGGCUAGCUCCUGAGAACAGCGGAAGCGGCUCCCCUGACGUGCGGCUCCUGCCGUUGUGGCGCUGCCAUGUGGGCCUGUUCCCCGAUGGGUCCAUCAGUCAGUGGUCGAACGGCACCCUGCCGAACGGCAGAGGAUCCUCGUCCGAGAACAGCAUGAUGCUUGAGCAAAAUUUUUUCUACAAUUUUCUACCUAUGCAAAAGGCUAGAAGGUCAUGGCGUCAUCUAAAUCUAAGUAAUGGUUUUAAGCUGCUCCUGUUUCUCAAAGAAAAGAAGUGGUUCAAUAGAAGAGCCAUGCCAAGAUAUGUGAGAACAGUAGAUUUUCAGUCAAUGAACAAUUGCGUCAGUUCCUUAGUCACGUCAUACUUCCAGGUCAUCCAAUGUCUGCCGAUAUCCACAUCCUGUCCUCUGUCUCAGAGCAUUCAAACCUAUAAGGUUGCUAGCCAACUUGGCUUCAGGAAGCUCCCUAAAUUUCGUCUGUUUCUAGCCGUUGGAUCUGGGUCAAAACUCGUUUCAAGCGUUGGAUCUUCGUUCUUCAUUUCCACCGCACGGUGCACCCUCUCCUUGCGCACCGCGUGCGGCUGCGUGGUUUGCGCAGGCGUGGCCGGCCCCUGCGUCGUGUUCGGUGGUGGGUGGAAUGGACUGAUGAUGGCUUCAUACCCGCAGCACUCUGCUCACUAUGACGGGUGGCCCAGGUUAGUGGCUGGUCCCACAAGUCGGCGGUUGAUUAUUGGUUGGGUCAGCAUUGGAAAGGUGCGAGAGCGCUUUGGGCGAAUGCGCACGUCCCGCGCCGCGCGCGACGUGGGUGUGCUGCGGCAUGGAGGUUUCACGAGAGUAAAAAAUUCCUCCCCCUCCUCUGUUGUGCAAGGCGGCAGAAGUACGAAGGGCGGCGGUCGGAGUGCCGCCUCCUCCGCCAGGCUCUUCCUCCUUGUCUCAACGGCAACUGUGAGCACGGGAGAAGCGGCGGCGCCUAGAUUCGAUGGGCUGACCAAGGUGGUUCCACGGUGGAGAACGGACCCCCUCGACGCCAUCCUCUGCGGCGUUGUCCCGCUGCCUCUGUUUCCUUUACCGCCGGUGGUGGGAGGAUACCCGGGGGAGCAGAGAAGGGGGUUGGAUGAGGGGUUAGGAGGUGCGAGGCGAGCAGGAGGUGGGGGUCACCGGACGAGCACAGCCACCAGAGCAGAGGAGUUCGAUGCAGAGCAGAGGCAGUCGGAGAGCGCGCGAUGGUUCUUGGUUGCAAUGGGGGGAGAGGCAGGGGAGGGUGAGGAGGCCAACGAUAGGGUGAAGCAGCCCGGCAACGAGUGCAAGCAGCAUGAGGCGCACCUCGUCGUCGUGGAGAGCAUGAGUAGAUGGGUCUUCAUGGUGGGGUGGAGCUGCAGGGGAGGGAAGGUUGCUGACGACAGGGGGAAGGAGGAGGCCGACGAGGAGGGCAAACAGCAGGGCGAAGGGGCACGGCGAGCCCAUCAGGGGGAAAAAGCAGGGCGACGAUGGGCAGAUUUUGGGGAGCGGCACGAACAUCAAGCAAUGGCUGAUGACAAGAGAAAAAAUGGUGCACACCGGUGUUAUCAAUAUCCUCUUCUCUUCCCCUAUGUGGAGCGUGGGUUUCAGCUUGGGAUUAGAUAUAUUGGUUCAUACCCUCUUGAUACAAGCAAAAGAACGAGGCUCAGCAUGAAGGAUUAUUAUUCCUAUUGCCUCCACUACAGACCAGAGCAUCAUAAUCCAUAUCUUUGUUGUGGUUUGCUCUCAUCACAGGCCAUUGUAGAUGCACAUGCUUGCAUAGACAAGUGGAGGUUGCAUUUUAUCAUGAAGGCUAAUAAUGAUCUUAGAGCGGAAAACUUGCAAGGGGUUACUAAUGCUGUUGGAAAAGGGUAUACAGAUGCAAGUUCUAUUGGCAAGAAAAACAUACUUCCAUCCUCUUUUACUGGUGGCCGACGUUAUAUGGUCAAGAACUUCCAAGAUGCAGUAGCUAUUUCGCAUGCGUUUGGCCAAUCAGACAUUUUUAAUAAUCCAUGUAUUAGUCCAGACGAAUGCAGGCCAUAUCUGUGCAUCGAAGCAGUUCGAGGCAAUAAGAAAGGGACAUGA